ACGCCCGGCUCCUUCUAACAGGCAAGAUGUUCGUCGUGGCACACGGCGGCGCGGUUGCUCUUUCCCUCCUAACGAGAGAUUGAUUCUUGGCUUGCAGACUGCGUUGGCUGAGGUGCUUCAUAUCGACGACAACCCGUUCGCCACCAGUAGAGCGGAGGAGGCGUCACUGUUCUUGCUGAACUUGACCGUGCUGAUGGCGAUGUCCAGUUCCUCCAUCCUGAUACUCCCAGCAGCGCGCAUGGGAGAAGGUCUGAGCUAGCAGGAUUCUUGUGGUCGUACCAGCGAUGGGGUCAGAACCGUUAGCAGCGGCCGGCGGUGGUACCUCAUUAAAUUGGUCUGUUCUGCAGGACCACGGGGAAGAUCAGAUUCUUGGCGUUCAGGUUGAGGAUGUCCUCCUUUCCCAAAAAAAUAGUUUGUGUUUAUACCUGACAACUCAAACAUUUUCACAUCUUAUUGUUCACGCACUAGGUGAAUGCUGAUGGAGCAGGUUUUUGUUGGCCUUGCCACGUUUUUCUUCUCUGUUUAAUUGUGUUGCAAUUUUUCACCCUUGAAGAAGUGAAAGGGAACUUCACGCUGGCUACAAAUUAACCCCACAGGCCGAGGACAUGUAAAUAUAAAGGCAAGAUGAUUAUGUGAUGUCUUUAUUCUGAUGCAGAAAUCCUUUAGUGCUAUGGCUGUAGGUUGGGGAUAGUAAAUUAUGGUAAAAAGAUAUUUGUAAAAAUCCUAGGUGUUUUUUUCUGCAUGUCUGGAUGGCAUCGUCGUGACAAAACGCUUCACUCUGCCUACACUACAAUUCCCAGGGUCUACCAUUGAUUCAUUUCGCGAGCUGCUAAAUUAUGGGGCAGGGCAGCUGGUGGUACUUCUGAUGGUCCUGUCGUUAUGACUUAUGAUUCAUACUUUCUAUUUGUUGGCUUUGUAGGUACGUGUUGUUUUACUGUGUUCAAGGAUGUUGUGAUUCAAUGGAGGCCUAGAUUGAUCUGUCGCACGUUGCAGUUCUUGAAGUGUCACUACAUGUUGUACAUGAACUGUUGUUUUUUUCAUGGAUUUUAUAUGCUUUACUAGAUGCGCAUAUGUUGUUAUAUAUCUUACAGGCCAGCUGAUAGAUGAUCUUGCUGAUGUCUUCUUGCCCUUCGUCACUGCUACACGUUCUGCAUCUUUCGACUGUGCACAUGCAUGGCGUGGUUUUGAGCGACUCCAUGCCUUCGUCAGGUUCUUUUGCCUGGUCUUCAUGGAUGGCCUUCUACAAAUGCCUAUUUCUAGCAUUCUCUUGGUCUGAAGGCAGGUUCCAGGCAGAUCCGUCAUCAGGGAACCUAAGAGAGUAGCAAUGCAAACAGCCUUGGUCAAAAAAUUUCUCACCUCGAGGGUCUCGACCAAAUGUUGUUGUGCGUGUCACACGGAUCUGGGAAAACAAGGAUCAAGCACAAAAUGGGUAUGUGUUGGGAUUCAUUGUCAUUGACCAACUGGAGCUUCUUGGGCAUUCAAACACUUCGAUACUUGAUCCAGCUCACCUACAAAUGAAGUCCAUGCAGUUAGUUUGAUGUACUCAUUUAAUUACCUAUCAAUGUUUACUCCGCUUUUUCUGCAAUGCACCCAACCAGCUUUACCUUUUAGUGUACUGCAUGUUCAUUUGCUAAGUGAAUAUUGAGAAUCUUGACAUGUUGGUAUAGCAAUAUACCUGUUCCAAAAAUAUCUGAUAUGAAUGACAGGUACAAUGCAUAAACCCUUAGAGCCAAUACAGUAACAUACAUGUUAUUUACUAAACAUGUGUGUGCAAAUUUGUUGCAGCCUCGGAAACAAAAUACCUGACCCAAUAGAGACAUGCUCUAUGCUCUGGCUAAACAACUAUUUUGAUCCAAACUAUCUGUUAAUUCAAAGGAUAUCAAGCCUAACGAGGAUAACAAAGAAAUAAUAGGUCAAUUCAUGUUUUUUGGAGCAAUAACCUAUCGUCUCUGUAUAAUUACUUUUCUUCUAUAUUCCCAGUUCUUCUCCAACAGCCAAUCCACUGAAGACAAACUUCGGUUGAUCAAGCGAACCAGUAAUAAAAUUGAGCAUUGCUUCCCAUGAUACUACAAAGCUUCUGCUCCAAAUUACAGCAUACAGUACUUCACUAGACGUCAGAGAGAAACUUUUAUUCUAGACUAGCACAAAUGGCCAUGCAGAGUGAAAGAAAAAAAAGUUGAUUCAAAACCAUCAGCAUAACCCAAAUUUUGCCCAAAGUCGAUCGACCCGUAACCCUAGCCUCAGUUCAUCCUUAUAUCCUAUAAUCUUUGAUUAUUUUGAUCUACUCUUUUAUGCUUCAUUGUUAUUUUUUUU